rnacentral:misc_RNA from 1 species
UACGGAGGGUGCAAGCGUUGUUCGGAAUUAUUGGGCGUAAAGCGCGCGCAGGCGGCUUGGGAAGUCUAUGGGUUAAAUGCCGGAGCUCAACUCCGAGUGUGCCCAAGAUACUCCUAGGCUAGAGACACGUAGAGGCAAGCGGAAUUCCGGGUGUAGCGGUGGAAUGCGUAGAGAUCCGGAAGAACACCGGAGGCGAAGGCGGCUUGCUGGGCGUGAUCUGACGCUGAGGCGCGAAAGCGUGGGGAGCGAACAGG